UGGGGAAUAUUGGACAAUGGGCGGAAGCCUGAUCCAGCAACGCCGCGUGAGGGAUGACGGCCUUCGGGUUGUAAACCUCUUUCAGCACAGACGAAGCGCAAGUGACGGUAUGUGCAGAAGAAGGACCGGCCAACUACGUGCCAGCAGCCGCGGUAAUACGUAGGGUCCGAGCGUUGUCCGGAAUUAUUGGGCGUAAAGGGCUCGUAGGCGGUUUGUCGCGUCGGGAGUGAAAACACCGGGCUUAACUCGGUGCUUGCUUUCGAUACGGGCAGACUAGAGGCAUUCAGGGGAGAACGGAAUUCCUGGUGUAGCGGUGAAAUGCGCAGAUAUCAGGAGGAACACCGGUGGCGAAGGCGGUUCUCUGGGAAUGUCCUGACGCUGAGGAGCGAAAAGUGUGGGGAGCGAACAGGAUUAGAUACCCUGGUAGUCCACACCGUAAACGUUGGGCGCUAGGUGUGGGAUCCAUUCCACGGGUUCCGUGCCGCAGCUAACGCAUUAAGCGCCCCGCCUGGGGAGUACGGCCGCAAGGCUAAAACUCAAAUGAAUUGACGGGGUCAU
rnacentral:rRNA from 1 species